UACGUAGGGUGCAAGCGUUGUCCGGAAUUAUUGGGCGUAAAGAGCUUGUAGGUGGUUUGUCGCGUCUGCUGUGAAAAUCCGAGGCUCAACCUCGGACUUGCAGUGGGUACGGGCAGACUAGAGUGUGGUAGGGGAGACUGGAAUUCCUGGUGUAGCGGUGAAAUGCGCAGAUAUCAGGAGGAACACCGGUGGCGAAGGCGGGUCUCUGGGCCGAUGAUUGACGGCUGGAGGAGCGAAAGCGUGGGGAGCGAACAGG
rnacentral:rRNA from 1 species